rnacentral:rRNA from 1 species
UACGGAGGGUGCAAGCGUUAUCCGGAUUCACUGGGUUUAAAGGGUGCGUAGGUGGGUCUGUAAGUCAGUGGUGAAAUCUCCGUGCUUAACAUGGAAACUGCCAUUGAUACUAUAGGUCUUGAAUUUUCUGGAGGUAAGCGGAGUAUGUCAUGUAGCGGUGAAAUGCUUAGAUAUGACAUAGAACACCAAUUGCGAAGGCAGCUUGCUACAGGGAUAUUGACACUGAGGCACGAAAGCGUGGGGAUCAAACAGG